rnacentral:tRNA from 1 species
GGCUCGUUGGUCUAGGGGUAUGAUUCUCGCUUAGGGUGCGAGAGGUCCCGGGUUCAAGUCCUGAACGAGCCC